rnacentral:rRNA from 1 species
UUGAACGCUGGCGGCAGGCCUAACACAUGCAAGUCGAGCGGUAGCACAGAGAGCUUGCUCUCGGGUGACGAGCGGCGGACGGGUGAGUAAUGUCUGGGAAACUGCCUGAUGGAGGGGGAUAACUACUGGAAACGGUAGCUAAUACCGCAUAAUGUCGCAAGACCAAAGUGGGGGACCUUCGGGCCUCAUGCCAUCAGAUGUGCCCAGAUGGGAUUAGCUAGUAGGUGGGGUAACGGCUCACCUAGGCGACGAUCCCUAGCUGGUCUGAGAGGAUGACCAGCCACACUGGAACUGAGACACGGUCCAGACUCCUACGGGAGGCAGCAGUGGGGAAUAUUGCACAAUGGGCGCAAGCCUGAUGCAGCCAUGCCGCGUGUGUGAAGAAGGCCUUCGGGUUGUAAAGCACUUUCAGCGGGGAGGAAGGCGUUAAGGUUAAUAACCUUGGCGAUUGACGUUACCCGCAGAAGAAGCACCGGCUAACUCCGUGCCAGCAGCCGCGGUAAUACGGAGGGUGCAAGCGUUAAUCGGAAUUACUGGGCGUAAAGCGCACGCAGGCGGUCUGUCAAGUCGGAUGUGAAAUCCCCGGGCUCAACCUGGGAACUGCAUUCGAAACUGGCAGGCUAGAGUCUUGUAGAGGGGGGUAGAAUUCCAGGUGUAGCGGUGAAAUGCGUAGAGAUCUGGAGGAAUACCGGUGGCGAAGGCGGCCCCCUGGACAAAGACUGACGCUCAGGUGCGAAAGCGUGGGGAGCAAACAGGAUUAGAUACCCUGGUAGUCCACGCCGUAAACGAUGUCGAUUUGGAGGUUGUGCCCUUGAGGCGUGGCUUCCGGAGCUAACGCGUUAAAUCGACCGCCUGGGGAGUACGGCCGCAAGGUUAAAACUCAAAUGAAUUGACGGGGGCCCGCACAAGCGGUGGAGCAUGUGGUUUAAUUCGAUGCAACGCGAAGAACCUUACCUGGUCUUGACAUCCACAGAACUGUCCAGAGAUGGAUUGGUGCCUUCGGGAACUGUGAGACAGGUGCUGCAUGGCUGUCGUCAGCUCGUGUUGUGAAAUGUUGGGUUAAGUCCCGCAACGAGCGCAACCCUUAUCCUUUGUUGCCAGCGGUCCGGCCGGGAACUCAAAGGAGACUGCCAGUGAUAAACUGGAGGAAGGUGGGGAUGACGUCAAGUCAUCAUGGCCCUUACGACCAGGGCUACACACGUGCUACAAUGGCAUAUACAAAGAGAAGCGACCUCGCGAGAGCAAGCGGACCUCAUAAAGUAUGUCGUAGUCCGGAUUGGAGUCUGCAACUCGACUCCAUGAAGUCGGAAUCGCUAGUAAUCGUAGAUCAGAAUGCUACGGUGAAUACGUUCCCGGGCCUUGUACACACCGCCCGUCACACCAUGGGAGUGGGUUGCAAAAGAAGUAGGUAGCUUAACCUUCGGGAGGGCGCUUACCACUUUGUGAUUCAUGACUGGGGUG